UUUGUGCUUCUUUUUUCACUCAACUUUUUCAUUUUGGAGUUGUGGCAUUAGAAAUCCUUACUGGCAGACCAAAUUCAUACUCAAGCUUGGGUGACGAAAAGACCUAUCUUCAUGAAUGGCUCAAUAGGCUUGGGAUCUCAAUGAAGAAGAUUGUGAAAUAGAACUUGUUGACUCAAAACUAUCAGAAGAAUUCAACAGGGAAGAAGUGAGGAGAACCAAGAGAAUAGCUUUCUUAUGCACUCAAGCAUCACCUGCAGCUCGUCCAUCAAUGUCCAAAGUCGCGGCAAUGCUUUCUGGAGAUACUGAUGCGGGAGGCACUGAAGUUUCGAGGCCCGGUUAUUUGGUUAAUGAGACAGAUUGAACAAGGGACUGAUCCUAUGCUAUAUAUAUGUACAAGUACAAGCAUGGUUGCAAUGCCAUCAUCAAGCCAUAAUAAUCCAACUCAUCCAAUGCUUCAUUACAUCAAUAAUGAGCUGUGAGGUUGAUAAAGAUUGUUAUUACAAAUCAAAAAUACAAAUUAGUUGCAUUUGAAUGAAACUAACAACACUUGUUAUGUAUGUUCAUGUUUAGUUAGUAGUCUUCAUAGUUUUGAUUAGUUUUGUAUACCAAUUCAAAGUAAAGUUGGGAGUUAAUGUGAUCUCUGAUUUGGUAAA